rnacentral:rRNA from 1 species
AAUGAACGUGGCGGCGUGGAUUAGGCAUGCAAGUCGAGCGGUAGGGAAUCACUCACCAGACCCCCGGUGAAACCGGGGGCUGAUAGCGUUAUUUGUGGCGCAGUCAGCCCCCGGCUCUGCCGGGGGUCAGGUGAGUGGUUCCUGAGAGCGGCGAAAGGGAGAGUAAUACGUAGUUACGUACCCCGAGGUCCGGAAUAGCCACGGGAAACUGUGGGUAAUGCCGGAUGAUAUCUUCGGAUCAAAGGUGUGAUUCCGCCUUGGGAGCGGACUGCGUCCUACUAGCUUGUUGGUGGGGUAAUGGCCUACCAAGGCGACGAUGGGUAGCGGGCGUGAGAGCGUGGCCCGUCUCACUGGGACUGAGACACUGCCCAGACACCUACGGGUGGCUGCAGUCGAGAAUCUUCGGCAAUGAGCGCAAGCUUGACCGAGCGACGCCGCGUGCGGGAUGAAGGCCCUCGGGUUGUAAACCGCUGUCGUAGGGGAGGAAAUCUGCGGGGGUUCUCCCUCACAGUUGACCUAUCCUAGGAGGAAGGACGGGCUAAGUUCGUGCCAGCAGCCGCGGUAAUACGAACCGUCCAAACGUUAUUCGGAAUCACUGGGCUUAAAGGGUACGUAGGCGGCGCUGUUAGUCGGGUGUGAAAUCCCUCGGCUCAACCGAGGAAUUGCGCCCGAUACUG